UGAAUACGAGAUGCUACGGCGUCGAAGCAGUGUAUGUCAGACUUCCAAGAAAAGCUCGCAAUGUCAUAAACAAAGAAUGCCUGCACCAUAACCGACACAGGUGGGUAGGUAGAGUAUACUAAGGGGCGCGAGAUAACUCUCUCUAAGGAACUCGGCAAAAUAACUCCGUAACUUCGGGAGAAGGAGUGCCUUCUAUUAGAAGGUUGCAAUAACAAGAUCCAAGCAACUGUUUAUCAAAAACACAGGUCUCCGCUAAGUCGUAAGACGAUGUAUGGGGGCUGACGCCUGCCCAGUGCCAGAAGGUUAAAGAAGUUGGUUAGCUUUGGCGAAGCUGAUGACUGAAGCCCUGGUGAACGGCGGCCGUAACGAUAACGGUCCUAAGGUAGCGAAAUUCCUUGUCGGGUAAGUUCCGACCCGCACGAAAGGCGUAAUGAUUUGGAUACUGUCUCGGAGAGGGACUCGGUGAAAUAGACUUGUCUGUGAAGAUGCGGACUACCUGCACCAGGACAGAAAGACCCUAUGAAGCUUUACUGUAACUUGAAAUUGAAAUUGGACUUUAUUUGCGCAGCAUAGGUGGAAGGCGUUGAGAUUACUCUUGCGGGAGUACUGGAGCCAUCAGUGAGAUACCACUCCUAUAAUGUUAGAUUUCUAACUUUGGAUCAUGAUCUGGUCAAAGAACAGUUUCAGGCGGGCAGUUUGACUGGGGCGGUCGCCUCCCAAAUGGUAACGGAGGCGUACAAAGGUUUCCUCUGAACGGGUAGAAAUCGUAUCUAGAGUGUAAAGGCAUAAGGAAGCUUGACUGUGAGACCUACAAGUCGAGCAGGGACGAAAGUCGGUCUUAGUGAUCUGACGGUGCUGAGUGGAAAGGCCGUCACUCAACGGAUAAAAGUUACUCUAGGAUAACAGGCUGAUCUCCCCCAAGAGUUCACAUCGACGGGGAGGUUUGGCACCUCGAUGUCGGCUCAUCGCAUCCUGGGGCGGUAGUACGUCCCAAGGGUUGGGCUGUUCGCCCAUGAAAGCGGUACGCGAGCUGGGUUCAGAACUCGUGAGACAGUUCGGUCCAUAUCCGGUGUAGGCGUUAGAAUAUUGAGAGGAGCCUUCUUUAGUACGAGAGGACCGAGAAGGACAUACCUCUGGUGUACCAGUUAUCGUGCCAACGGUAAACGCUGGGUAGCUAUGUAUGGAGAGGAUAACCGCUGAAAGCAUCUAAGUGGGAAGCCCACCUCAAGAU
rnacentral:rRNA from 1 species